GUUAUAUGGUCAAGUGAAGAAGCGCAUACGGUGGAUGCCUUGGCAGUCAGAGGCGAUGAAAGACGUGGUAGCCUGCGAAAAGCUUCGGGGAGUCGGCAAACAGACUUUGAUCCGGAGAUGUCUGAAUGGGGGAACCCAGCCAUCAUAAGAUGGUUAUCUUGUACUGAAUACAUAGGUGCAAGAGGCGAACCAGGGGAACUGAAACAUCUAAGUACCCUGAGGAAAAGAAAUCAACCGAGAUUCCCUUAGUAGUGGCGAGCGAACGGGGACU
rnacentral:rRNA from 1 species